rnacentral:lncRNA from 1 species
UCGUGACACACCAACGUUUCUUUAUUAUUAUUAUUUGUUUGGAUUCUCGGUAGCCCGUUUCGUCCUGUGCUUCUAGCCCUGCUCGUAAAACUGAACUCUCCGUUCUCAGCCAUUUCUUCAGUUUCUCUUUCUCUCUAUAUAUAGGACAAGGCACAUGUACACACAUUCAGUACGAAUUAAAUUAAUUACACUUGUAUGCUGUGAAAUUAGAAAGAGACUGAGAAACACAAUACACGAAAAGCUACAGAAACGAAAAUGAAACCUGAAAACGAGGAUAAGGAUGAACGAACAAAAUUUCCUAGUCUUAUGUUGAGAUAUAUUUAUAUAUCUGGGGCAAAGAACAUUCGCUACUUAUAGGCAAGGUCGCCGAGGAAAGCUUAACCUUGGUUACUUAACUAUGGUUCUGGAGUUUUAACUUGAUCUUUGUGAUAAAUAUGGCAACGCGGAUCAUAUCCUCUGAAGCCGCCACCAAACGGUCGCAUGUCACCAAACGGUCGCAUGUUUAUGCAUGAUUGGGAGUUUCAUAUUACCUGAGAACUUCGAACCAAUAACGGCACAUCAAUUUAGUUGUACAUAAAAAAUUUCUUUAAAUUAUUAAAGAUAGAUCCAGUUUUUUCGGAUGUGAAAAUAUUUGAACUGGGCUUCAACAAAAUACCGUCAAUUUUAGUCAGGCUGAAGCUGAACUGUGCUUUAACAAGAUAAUUUUUACAGGUUGUGAUAAAUUUUUAAUUGUAACAUCACUGUAUUAUUUAUUAAAAAAAAUAAGAGUGUGAGAUAAGAGAAAUUUUAGAAUACAUCUGUUGUACUAUGUCAGUUAUAUAAGAGCAUCUCCAAUAAACUCUUCAAAUAAAAUUUUACUUCUUACUUGAAGAGCCAUAUCAAUAUUAAACACUUCAAAAGACACGUUAAUUUAGAUUCUUCAAAUAAGAUUUGUUUCUAAGAGCAUCACCAAAAUACUCUUCAAAUAAGAUUUUAUUACUUAUUUGAAGAGCCACAUCAAUAUUUAAAGCUUCAAAAG